AUCCAGAUGACGAGUCCCAAAUAAGACGAAACUUGCGUCAAACUGGAU
rnacentral:hammerhead_ribozyme from 1 species